GAUGAAGAACGUAGUGAAAUGCGAUAAGUAAUGUGAAUUGCAGAAUUCCGUGAAUCAUCGAGUCUUUGAACGCACAUUGCGCCCCCUGGUAUUCCGGGGGGCAUGCCUGUCCGAGCGUCAUUGCUGCCCAUCAAGCACGGCUUGUGUGUUGGGUCCUCGUCCCCCCCGGGGGACGUGCCCGAAAGGCAGCGGCGGCACCGCGUCCGGUCCUCGAGCGUAUGGGGCUUUGUCACCCGCUCUGCAGGCCCGGCCGGCGCUGGCCGACGCGAAAGCAACCAUUUUUUCUCCAGGUUGACCUCGGAUCAGGUAGGGAUACCCGCUGAACUUAAGCAUAUCAAUAAGCGGAGGA
rnacentral:misc_RNA from 1 species